CAAUAGCGUAUAUUUAAGUUGCUGCAGUUAAAAAGCUCGUAGUUGGAUUUCGGGUGGGAAUGGCCGGUCCGCCGUUUCGGUGUGCACUUGCUACGCCCAGCUUGCUGCCGGGGACGUGCUCUUGAGUUCACGCUCGGGACACGGAGUCGGCGAGGUUACUUUGAGUAAAUUAGAGUGUUCAAAGCAGGCCUACGCUCUGAAUACAUUAGCAUGGAAUAACACGAUAGGACUCUGGCCUAUCUUGUUGGUCUGUAGGACCGGAGUAAUGAUUAAGAGGGACAGUCGGGGGCAUUCGUAUUUCAUUGUCAGAGGUGAAAUUCUUGGAUUUAUGAAAGACGAACUACUGCGAAAGCAUUUGCCAAGGAUGUUUUCAUUAA
rnacentral:rRNA from 1 species